rnacentral:rRNA from 1 species
AUUUAACGCUGGCGGCAGGCCUAACACAUGCAAGUCGAACGAGUGGCGGACGGGUGAGUAAUGUCUGUGAAACUGCCUGAUGUUGGGGGAUAACUACUGGAACCGGUAGCUAAUACCGCAUACCAUCAGAUGUGCCCAGGUGGGAUUAUCUUGUUGUUGGGGUAACGGCUCACAAAGGCGACGAUCCCUAGCUGGUCUGAGAGGGUGACCAGCCACAUUGGAACUGAGAGACGGUCCAGACUCCUAAGGGAGGCAGCAGUGGGGAAUAUUGCACAAUGGGCGAAAGGCUGAUGGAGCCAUGCCGCGUGUAUGAAGAAGGCCUUCGGGUGGUAAAGUACUUUCAGCGGGGAGGCGUGAACCGCAGAAGAAGCACCGGCUAACUCCGUGCCAGCAGCCGCGGUAAUAC